rnacentral:rRNA from 1 species
UACGGAGGGUGCGAGCGUUAUCCGGAAUCACUGGGUUUAAAGGGUAUGUAGGCGGCCUGAUAAGUCAGAGGUGAAAGCUUCGCGCUUAACGAGAGAACUGCCUUUGAUACUGUUGAGCUUGAAAGUAGCUGAGGAUGGCAGAAUGUGCGAUGUAGCGGUGAAAUGCAUAGAUAUCGCAAAGAACACCGGUUGCGAAGGCAGCUGGCUAACCUGACUUUGACGCUGAGGCACGAAAGCGUGGGUAGCGAACAGG